UACGUAGGGGGCAAGCGUUGUCCGGAUUUAUUGGGCGUAAAGAGCGCGUAGGCGGCCAGACAGGUCCGUUGUGAAAACUCGAGGCUCAACCUCGAGACGCCGAUGGAAACCGUUUGGCUAGAGUCCGGAAGAGGAGAGUGGAAUUCCUGGUGUAGCGGUGAAAUGCGCAGAUAUCAGGAAGAACACCCGUGGCUAAGGCGGCUCUCUAGUACGGUACUGACGCUGAGACGCGAAAGCGUGGGGAGCGAACAGG
rnacentral:rRNA from 1 species